rnacentral:rRNA from 1 species
AUACGUAGGUGGCAAGCGUUGUCCGGAUUUACUGGGCGUAAAGGGCGCGUAGGCGGGAUGGCAAGUCAGAUGUGAAAUCUCCGGGCUCAACCCGGAAACUGCAUUUGAAACUGUCGUUCUUGAGUAUCGGAGAGGCAAGCGGAAUUCCUAGGGUAGCGGUGAAAUGCGUAGAUAUUAGGAGGAACACCAGUGGCGAAGGCGGCUUGCUGGACGACAACUGACGCUGAGGCGCGAAAGCGUGGGGAGCAAACAGGAUUAGAUACCCUGGUAGUCCACGCCGUAAACGAUGAUUACUAGGUGUUGGUUGUCAUAGACAAUCGGUGCCGCAGCAAACGCAAUAAGUAAUCCACCUGGGGAGUACGUUCGCAAGACUGAAACUCAAAGGAAUUGACGGGG